rnacentral:pre_miRNA from 1 species
GGUAAAAUUACUGAGACAUAUGGUAAGAGUAUGCUCACCUUUAUGAGAAAUUGAUAAUGUGUUUUAUAAGGUGGCUGUGCUAUUUUGCAUCCCCACCAGCAAG